rnacentral:rRNA from 1 species
AUUGAACGCUGGCGGCAUGCUUUACACAUGCAAGUCGAACGGUAACAGGGAGCUUGCUCCGCUGACGAGUGGCGAACGGGUGAGUAAUGCAUCGGAACGUACCCAGUCGUGGGGGAUAACGUAGCGAAAGUUACGCUAAUACCGCAUACGUCCUGAGGGAGAAAGCGGGGGACCGUAAGGCCUCGCGCGAUUGGAGCGGCCGAUGUCGGAUUAGCUAGUUGGUAGGGUAAAGGCCUACCAAGGCGACGAUCCGUAGCGGGUCUGAGAGGAUGAUCCGCCACACUGGGACUGAGACACGGCCCAGACUCCUACGGGAGGCAGCAGUGGGGAAUUUUGGACAAUGGGGGCAACCCUGAUCCAGCAAUGCCGCGUGAGUGAAGAAGGCCUCGGGUUGUAAGCUCUUUGUCAGGGAAGAACACCGGCUAACUACGUG